CUAUUUAUUCAGUAAACAGCAGGUGCCUCCUGUGUUCCAGGCGCUGCUCUGCAGGCCUGGGAAUACAGCACUGAGCACGCACAGCCCUGUUCCCAUGGAGCUGCCUCCAGUGGGGGUUAAGUGAGGGGAUGCAGGUGACAGGUGUAUGUCCUGAGCUCAGCUGGGAGCAGCAGCUUGGAUGGGCAGGUCAUGCACAAGUCCAAGUCCAGCAGCUCAGGGCCAGCCCCAGUGGGGCCUGUGGAAGAGGGUGCGUGGGGACCAUGAUGCUGUGGUUUAGAUAAGUGUCACCAAAGGCCCAUGUGUUAGAAGCUUGUCCUGCAGUAUGGUGCAAUUGGGAGCUAUAAGAGGUAGGACCUGGGGGGCCUUCCGGUUGUUUGGUGCAUGCCUUUGAAGGGGAUUCUGGGACCCCACCCCCUUAUUUUCCUUGUGUGUCUCUUUUGUAACCAGUCAUAAGGUGAGUGGCCUUCUUCCAGCAUGAAGAGCUUUCUUGCCACAUACCCAAAAGCAACAGGGCCACUCAACCAUGUACAGAAACCUUCAAAAGUGUGAAUGUGAGCCAGAAGAAACCUUUUGUCUUUACGAGUUGACU
rnacentral:lncRNA from 1 species